GUUCUUUUCAUCUUUUCCUCAUGGACUCAAGAUAGUUGCUGUGGCCAAAGAUGUCAUUUCCUAAUUACAGACAGAAAGUGAAACACAGGCAAAAGAAUACAGUUUUCAGCUGCAUCAGCCCCUACUAUGGCUUAGAUAUGGUUUUUGCAUAUUUCCAGGGGCUCCCGUGUUGACAUUUAAUACCCGUUGUGAAGAGGAUGGAAAUGGUCCUUACAUACAGCACAUGAUUAAGAUGCUUCGUGGACCAAGAGAUCCUAGAAGGCCUCUUGCGGCUGCUGAAUUGAGUUUGUUCUUGAUCUUCUGCUAUCAAAACCACAGAGCCAGGAAGAUCUAACACCAAGACACAGCUGCCACACACCCAGGAAAGAGAUGAGGCCUGCAGGAAGGACUCUGCUGUUUUCCUGAGGCAUAGAUUCCAGUUCCAUUUCUUUUUCAUGCCUCUGAGUUUCUGGAUUGGAAAGGACAGAUUACUUUUUCUGGUCCCAUUUUAAUUUUUCUCAAAACUCAUAAAAUAUCAUCAGAGUGCUUUUUAAUUUUUCUGAAAAGCAGGAAAUCGUAAGAUUGAUAAAUAGUUUAAUGUGAACCUGAUGGCUUGAUUAAUUAAUCACCAAGCUGAGGAACCACUACAAUUCAUAUGUCAAUUCAGACUAUUUUCGGGAAAUGAUUUGAAUCAAUUGCUAAUGAAAUUGAGAAAUUUAGGAGCUGCUUUCUGACUUCCAAAUGACAGGGCUCAUAUUUAACUCAAGAGCCGUGACAGUUAAUGACAACAUAAAAGUGCCAUGAAUUAUUUUCCAGACCAUGGGAAAAUUACGCAUCUCCCCAUUGAAACAGCUCUCAGCUCAUCAGCAUGAAAAUAAACAGACUUAAUCACACGCUAAGAAAUCUAUGAUGCUGUUAAAAACCUAGGUUCCUUUUGAAAUAAACAAAGACUAUAAUCCUUGGGAAUAAUUGUAAUAUUUCACAGCCUCUUCCUUAACCCAGAGUGAUAGAUGAACUUAGUGUGACUGAUAUUACAGGUGAAAGACUAUAGAAAAAAAUAUUGUGGAUGGUCCUUCUUCUACCCAAUUACUUUAAACCCUUAAAAUAGGUAGAGUUUAAUUUUUCUUCUCUACUUUAAUUCAUAGGCUGAGUUUCUCAGCACCUUUUAUGUUCAAAAGGGCUUGCUUUGUAUAUCUUUCCAUAAGUUUUCAUUUCAAGCCAGACUUUUAAGGUAAUUUAAAGUUACAUUUAGCUAUAACAAGACAGUUAUUGUGUGUUAAUGAAAUAUCAAUGGAAAGUGCACUGAU
rnacentral:lncRNA from 1 species